rnacentral:rRNA from 1 species
GUGAACGCUGGCGGCAGGCCUAACACAUGCAAGUCGAGCGGCAGCGCGGGGGCAACCCUGGCGGCGAGCGGCGGACGGGUGAGGAAUUCGUCGGAAUCUGCCUUUUUGUGGGGGAUAACGUAGGGAAACUUACGCUAAUACCGCAUACGUCCUACGGGAGAAAGUGGGGGACCGCAAGGCCUCACGCAGAAAGAUGAGCCGACGACCGAUUAGCUAGUUGGUGGGGUAAAGGCCCACCAAGGCGACGAUCGGUAGCUGGUCUGAGAGGAUGAUCAGCCACACUGGGACUGAGACACGGCCCAGACUCCUACGGGAGGCAGCAGUGGGGAAUAUUGGACAAAGGGCGCAAGCCUGAUCCAGCCAUGCCGCGUGUGUGAAGAAGGCCUUCGGGUUGUAAAGCACUUUUGUCCGGAAAGAAAUCCCUGGAGCUAAUACCUUCGGGGGAUGACGGUACCGGAAGAAUAAGCACCGGCUAACUUCGUG